CCUUUGUACACACCGCCCGUCGCUACUACCGAUGGAUUAUUUAGUGAGGUCUUUGGAGAUGAACUCUGCGAUAUCUUUCGGUAUUGCGGAUGCUUUUGUCAAAGUUGACCGAACUUGAUGA
rnacentral:rRNA from 1 species